rnacentral:rRNA from 1 species
CACGUAGGGGCCAAGCGUUGUCCGGAUUUAUUGGGCGUAAAGAGCUCGUAGGCGGUUUGUCGCGUCUGCUGUGAAAUCCCGAGGCUCAACCUCGGGCCUGCAGUGGAUACGGGCAGACUGGAGUGCGGUAGGGGAGAAUGGAAUUCCUGGUGUAGCGGUGGAAUGCGCAGAUAUCAGGAGGAACACCGAUGGCGAAGGCAGUUCUCUGGGCCGUAACUGACGCUGAGGAGCGAAAGCGUGGGGAGCGAACAGG